rnacentral:tRNA from 1 species
AGAGCUAUAGCUCAGUGGUAGAGCACAUGCUUAGCAUGCAUGAGUUUCUGGGUUCAAGCCCUAGUACCUCCA